rnacentral:rRNA from 1 species
UACGGGGGGAGCAAGCGUUGUCCGGAUUUAUUGGGCGUAAAGAGCUCGUAGGCGGUUCGGCAAGUCAGCUGUGAAAUCUCCACGCUCAACGUGGAGGGGUCAACUGAUACUGCUGUGACUUGAGUCCGGUAGGGGAGUGUGGAAUUCCCGGUGUAGCGGUGAAAUGCGUAGAUAUCAGGAGGAACACCUGCGGUGUAGACGGCUUACUGGACCGUAACUGACGCUGAGGCACGAAAAGCGUGGGUAGCAAACAGG